CUUCCUGACUUGGUACAGGACACUUUUAAAGGGAAUAAAAGUGGUGGGUUGAACCUGGUUUUAUGGCAUGCCAAACCUCGCACUUUAAUGACAAAGUUAAAUAUAACAUUGAAAUGACAACAUAAUAUUACAGGACUACAAUACAAACAAAAAGGAGACCAUAUUAGACAAAGAAAAGCAUGAUUAAUAGACAACAAAAGCAUCAAGUUUAAAAUUCAAUACGCCAAAAAACGCGUCUUGUCCACACAAGACUCAAUAGUGACGCCCAGAUAUAAAAGAUCGAAAGUGAAAAAAGUACAAAGUUGUACAGCACUGAAGAUCAAAAGUUGAAAAGGUUUUGCCAAAUACGGCAUUGUUUGUAUGCCCGGG
rnacentral:lncRNA from 1 species